rnacentral:rRNA from 1 species
ACGCUAGCUACAGGCUUAACACAUGCAAGUCGAGGGGCAGCAUGGUCUUAGCUUGCUAAGACUGAUGGCGACCGGCGCACGGGUGAGUAACACGUAUCCAACCUGCCGUCUACUCUUGGACAGCCUUCUGAAAGGAAGAUUAAUACAAGAUGGCAUCAUGAGUCCGCAUGUUCACAUGAUUAAAGGUAUUCCGGUAGACGAUGGGGAUGCGUUCCAUUAGAUAGUAGGCGGGGUAACGGCCCACCUAGUCUUCGAUGGAUAGGGGUUCUGAGAGGAAGGUCCCCCACAUUGGAACUGAGACACGGUCCAAACUCCUACGGGAGGCAGCAGUGAGGAAUAUUGGUCAAUGGGCGAGAGCCUGAACCAGCCAAGUAGCGUGAAGGAUGACUGCCCUAUGGGUUGUAAACUUCUUUUAUAAAGGAAUAAAGUCGGGUAUGGAUACCCGUUUGCAUGUACUUUAUGAAUAAGGAUCGGCUAACUCCGUGCCAGCAGCCGCGGUAAUACGGAGGAUCCGAGCGUUAUCCGGAUUUAUUGGGUUUAAAGGGAGCGUAGAUGGAUGUUUAAGUCAGUUGUGAAAGUUUGCGGCUCAACCGUAAAAUUGCAGUUGAUACUGGAUAUCUUGAGUGCAGUUGAGGCAGGCGGAAUUCGUGGUGUAGCGGUGAAAUGCUUAGAUAUCACGAAGAACUCCGAUUGCGAAGGCAGCCUGCUAAGCUGCAACUGACAUUGAGGCUCGAAAGUGUGGGUAUCAAACAGGAUUAGAUACCCUGGUAGUCCACACGGUAAACGAUGAAUACUCGCUGUUUGCGAUAUACGGCAAGCAGCCAAGCGAAAGCGUUAAGUAUUCCACCUGGGGAGUACGCCGGCAACGGUGAAACUCAAAGGAAUUGACGGGGGCCCGCACAAGCGGAGGAACAUGUGGUUUAAUUCGAUGAUACGCGAGGAACCUUACCCGGGCUUAAAUUGCAGAUGAAUUACGGUGAAAGCCGUAAGCCGCAAGGCAUCUGUGAAGGUGCUGCAUGGUUGUCGUCAGCUCGUGCCGUGAGGUGUCGGCUUAAGUGCCAUAACAAGCGCAACCCUUGUUGUCAGUUACUAACAGGUUCCGCUGAGGACUCUGACAAGACUGCCAUCGUAAGAUGUGAGGAAGGUGGGGAUGACGUCAAAUCAGCACGGCCCUUACGUCCGGGGCUACACACGUGUUACAAUGGGGGGUACAGAGGGCCGCUACCACGCGAGUGGAUGCCAAUCCCAAAAACCUCUCUCAGUUCGGACUGGAGUCUGCAACCCGACUCCACGAAGCUGGAUUCGCUAGUAAUCGCGCAUCAGCCACGGCGCGGUGAAUACGUUCCCGGGCCUUGUACACACCGCCCGUCAAGCCAUGGGAGCCGGGGGUACCUGAAGUGCGUAACCGCGAGGAGCGCCCUAGGGUAAAACUGGUGACUGGG